rnacentral:lncRNA from 1 species
CCUCCUUUAAGUAUUUUUCUUUUUCCUCCAUGGAUCACAGGAAGGAUGAAGCAGUCUGAAAAACGUUUAUUCACUGAUGGCAUUGGAUUGUGAAGUGUUUAUUUUAUUCUUUCUACUGGAGUUUUGUUUGUCCCAGGCUUUAACUAUCCAGAGAGUAACCUUGCACCAUGUGUAGAUUAUCCUUUAAUAAAUACGUUUUGCUGUGAAUGGUUUGAAGACUUAUUUGGUGAUUUUGAAAAGAAUCAGGGGAGUUUAGGAAGAAGGUGUUUUGUCCUGAGACCUCACUUGGGUUCACGCAUCACUAGAGUUGAAAAUAGAGGGACAGUAGGCCUUCUUGGCUUUCAGAGAAAGAUCACCAUCAUGUCGUGAUAUUAUUAGAAGACAGAAGAACUAAGUGUCGGGCUUUUUCAUCUAUUAAUUUCCCUCCUGUCUCCCCUUUUUAGCUCCUGAAGCUCGUGUUCCAUAAUACACUGCUGGUAAAUAUUUAAUUACCAUUCUCAGAAAAGUGUUUUGCAUUUUCACAUUACCCUCCUCCUCAGGGUGAUGAAAGACAAAAUGGGUAAUAUGUGUGUGUGUGUGUGUGUGUGUGUGAGUAUAUACUCUGGGUAUUUUCUUUAUAUCAAAAGAUAAUACAUACAUUAGAUUGCCUGUAAUGGAGACUUGGUUGCCUGCUUCUUAAUGAGAGAUGCUGAUGUGAAAUGACCCCUGCUUUCCUAAACACACAGCAAUCUAAUUUGAACCUGUACGCCAAUUACAGGCCUCUGUGGAGCAGUUUAUGGUACAACAAUCACGUCACAAUAGGAUUAGAACACUAUGCCCCAGGACCACAAGGGAAGCCAGCCUGGGCAUAACUGCCGGUUUAUUCCUCUAAAUUGUCUGUAAACAGCAUUGAUAGCCACCUUGGUGCCACCUUGGUAUUGUUUCUAUAAAUCCUCCAUAGAAACAAUCUAAAAUGAAUAGACGAGUCAGUAAUGGCCUGUUAGUUCCCACACAGAGUUGUGCCGCUGAUCUGCUGCGUGGCUACUGUUCCCAGGGACUGAUCCUAGAUAAACCUUCACCGACGGCAGAGCAGACGGGCUUUGUGGACAUAAUCAGUUUCCUGACAGUGCUAACUGUAUCUGACUAAUGUGAAGAGAGCUGAAAUUGCCAUGUUUUGAUCAUUAGAGCAGGUCUGAAGAGGAAGGUGACCUGAGCGGAAGUCAAACCCUGAAACGGAGAUUAAGCACUGGGUCGUGCCAGUGGGAUUGAAGUAAUUACGUGAUCUAUGGUAGAAAAUGAUUAUUACAUGGCAUUAUAUAGGGUCAAUCAUGUCCUCUUGCAAACUAAAACCAAAUGGAGUACAACUGUCCCAUUAAACUCUAAAGAAGUGUUAGUUUUGUUUCCCAAUGUCAUAUAAAAUUAUUUAUACCAUACCUCACUUCUCACUUGAUACAUAGAAAUAAAAGUAAAAUAUUUUCAUUUGCUCUACUGAAU